rnacentral:tRNA from 1 species
ACUCUCGAUAUCUCAGUUGGAGAGCGGAGGACUAUAGAUGUGUCAGCAGUUAUCCUUAGGUCGCUAGUUUAAAUCCGGUUCGAAAUA